UCAGUGCUUAGCAUUGAACUGUGCAUAAAAUCCAAUCAUUUCUUAUAGUGAUAUUAUGCACAUUUUCAUGCAAAGCAUUCAAGU